UACGUAGGUGGCAAGCGUUGUCCGGAAUUAUUGGGCGUAAAGCGCGCGCAGGUGGUUUCUUAAGUCUGAUGUGAAAGCCCACGGCUCAACCGUGGAGGGUCAUUGGAAACUGGGGAACUUGAGUGCAGGAGAGAAGAGUGGAAUUCCACGUGUAGCGGUGAAAUGCGUAGAGAUGUGGAGGAACACCAGUGGCGAAGGCGGCCAUCUGGACCGGAACUGACGCUGAGGCGCGAAAGCCAGGGGAGCGAAUGGG
rnacentral:rRNA from 1 species